GAUGAACGCUAGCGGCAGGCUUAAUACAUGCAAGUCGUGGGGCAGCAUGGUGUAGCAAUACACUGAUGGCGACCGGCAAACGGGUGCGGAACACGUACGCAACCUCCCUCUAACUGGAAGAUAGCCCACCGAAAGGUGGAUUAAUAUUCCAUAACAUAUUGAAGUGGCAUCACUUUAAUAUUAAAGCUCCGGCGGUAAGAGAUGGGCGUGCGUCUGAUUAGGUAGUUGGCGGGGUAACGGCCCACCAAGCCUGCGAUCAGUAGCUGAUGUGAGAGCAUGAUCAGCCACACGGGCACUGAGACACGGGCCCGACUCCUACGGGAGGCAGCAGUAAGGAAUAUUGGUCAAUGGACGCAAGUCUGAACCAGCCAUGCCGCGUGGAGGAUGAAGGUCCUCUGGAUUGUAAACUUCUUUUCUCUGGGACGAAACCCCCGAUUUCCAUCGGGCCUGACGGUACCAGAGGAAUAAGCACCGGCUAACUCCGUGCCAGCAGCCGCGGUAAUACGGAGGGUGCAAGCGUUAUCCGGAUUCACUGGGUUUAAAGGGUGCGUAGGCGGGUUUGUAAGUCAGUGGUGAAAUCCCCGAGCUUAACUUGGGAACUGCCAUUGAUACUGCAAGUCUUGAAUUUUCUGGAGGUAAGCGGAAUAUGUCAUGUAGCGGUGAAAUGCUUAGAUAUGACAUAGAACACCCAUUGCGAAGGCAGCUUACUACGGGAAUAUUGACGCUGAGGCACGAAAGCGUGGGGAUCAAACAGGAUUAGAUACCCUGGUAGUCCACGCCCUAAACGAUGAUUACUCGACAUUAGCGAUAUUACAGUUAGUGUCUAAGCGAAAGCAUUAAGUAAUCCACCUGGGAAGUACGACCGCAAGGUUG
rnacentral:rRNA from 1 species